rnacentral:lncRNA from 1 species
AAAAACAUAACUGUACAAAGACGGGACUGAGCCACGUCAUACUCAUAUACAUAUAUAUGUACAAACGUAUCGUACCAAUAUCAAAAGAAGCUCCAGAUCAAAUGGAGCACACCAACUCUUGCUGAUCAGGGAUCCUAAGAAUGGGGACCGUCAGCUUGCCUACCUGCACCUGCGGGCAUGAAACACAGGCCCCGUAAAAUAGGGCAUCAGUACGAAAAAUGUACUGAGUAUGUAAGGCAUGGAAAUUAGUACGUAAAAGACAUAGAUGAAACAUGGAAUACUGAAACACAUUUUUAAAUUUGAAUAACUUUGUAAAUACUGAAACGUUUAUAACGUCAUGCACGUGCGUGUAAAUGUUAUGCCAUGCAUAGGUAUGGUGUACAUAAUAUCAUCAAGCCACUGGGGGAUUUCCAUCAUAUCAUCUCGGCCAUUGUGGGCAAUAUCAUCAACAUAUACUAGCUGAUCAGGUGGUGGUGCGUAUAUAAUGCCACAACCUUUUCCAUAUCCCAUAUACAUAUAUAUAUAUAUAUAUAUAUAUACGCGUAUAUAACGGCGUUUGAAUACAUACAUAUAUAUGUGUAUAUAACGUCGUUUGAAUCAUAUUUUAGCCAUUAUGGGCAAUAUCAUCAUCAUAUACCAGCUGAUCAGGUGGUGGUGCGUAUAUAACGCCGUAACCUUUUCCCAUAUCCCAUAUACAUAUAUUUAUAUAUAUACGGGUAUAUAACGUCAUCUGGUCAUGGGUCAAUGCACAUGUACGAAAUGCAUGAAAAAUACGUAAUAAUCUCAAUAUUCCUUCCGGAUAAUUUUUCCAAGUGCGUAUUAUUCUGAGACCCAUGAACAGAAGAAAAUAAUAAUUCUCAUGGGGAAUCAAGAAUAUAGACACCCCUACUAUUUCUAUGAAUAGAAUAAUUUAUAGAAACCGUUUAUUUGCUCAUUUCUUUCGUAUAAUCUAGAUCAUGCCAAAAGAAAGAAGGGAAGGCCUUAACAUACCUGGAGUAGGGAAAACUCUAUAUAAUAUUCUUGGCAAAGAUUACACCGUAUUCUUUUAGAACUACAAAACUUGGACGG